ensembl:lncRNA
AAAAACAACCAUUUUACUCACUAAGUGUAAGCACAUUAUCAAUAGCUCCUAAAUAAAUUACAUCAUAGCUAAAAGCUGAACUCUAACUGUAUUUUAGAACUCACAUUUCCUGUGUUUACCCUGUUUUAAUAUAUCAUUUUAUUUCAUUUUGCUGCUCUUAUUGUAAUGGUACAUUCUAAUUAUAUUUUAUCAGUCAUUAUAUUUUAUCAGUCUUAACCAAAAUACAUAAGCUUUCCCCCCUUUGGUCCUGGUUUAAAGCAAAAACUUAGUCACUUCAACAAGCAUUUAUUAUUUUGUAACUACAUUUUAUAGAAGAGGACUAGUUUAGAGCUGCAUGUGUUAUCUCAAUAUUUUACAUGUCACCCCAUUUAGUUACAACCAAACUCCUAUUCAGUUCCUCAUUCUGUCAUUUGUUAUUGGGUCAACUCAAAUUCAGUUAAAAGCUAAAGGAAUUUCAGGCCCUAGGCCUCAAAUCCAUACUGUCCUAAAUCCCACAUUUUCUACUCAUAAAAUGUUCACUAUUUUCCCCAAAGCAUAUCCUUUAUUCCCACAGUUUCCCUUUAAGUUUUAUAUACAGCAGCGUAUGAACACCAGCAUUUUAUCUUCUAAACCGAAUUCAGUUCAUUUUAAUCCUUUCUUUAGAAUUAACCAUCUCUGCCCCAGUUUUACCAUAUUUGAAUUCUCAAAAACCCAAUAGUUAAAAUCAUACUAAAACCCAUUUCAAAUUAAACAAUUUAAAUCUUACAUCCCUCUCUUUUUUUGACACAUCUCAUGUGGCAAAAAACUCAACAUGCUUCACCCAAGCUUAGGAAAGUAAAAGGGAAAAAAAGUUAGUCAUAUCAUCUCUCCAAACACUUCAGCCAUCUUCCUCUCCGGUAUUUUGCUCCAGCCCUGAAAACCUGUGUUUAAGGAACAAAAUCAAUUUAAUUAUUAUGUCAAAUCUUCUCAAACUCGCUGCUCCAUCGAAUCUGGAUCCUUGGAAUUUCCUGGAAACAAAACCUGUAGUUUACAUUUCCUACUCAACUCUCCCUUUUUGAUCCCGUCUAUGUCAUAACAAAAAUAAACUUAAACAGAACAGUUAUUAAUCAUGAGUUACCCCAGUUAAUGGUAACUUGAAUUUCAUCAAACAACGUUUCCCUUUUAGCAUUUAGCAUUCUAUAAU